rnacentral:lncRNA from 1 species
UAGGAAAGAAAGGUUUUCAGGGAAGCGGUAGACAAGUUCCUUCAGCUCAACACGAAGUCACUGGCCCGGCCUGGCACCCAGAGGUAAAGAAUAGCAGAAAAAGAGAGAGGAACUCUCGCAAACCCAUCCUGCUCCUGCUCACUGGGUCAUUAGAAACAAAACAGAUCUGGUGAAGGGUCUGCUGUAAAGCAGCUUGGUGUUGGGGCAUUGAAAUCAGACACGGAUUUCAUUCCAACUGACUGCAUGCUAUAUGCCACAGGUGUCAGAGCUGAUCCAAACAGUGAGACAAAAGUCUUGAGGUUAAAAGACAACGUCCUACUCUACUUUAACCCCGACUUGUCUUCACCGUGUUUUGCAAAGAGUAGAUACUCAUUAACCAGUUGGUGAGAGCUGUUUCUAUAUGACAAGAGACCUCUAGAAAAGUGGAAUCAGGUAACAUCACAGAAAGAGACAAGCAGCAACUAGACAGUGUGUCCUCCUGCUAAAAGUACGUAACGUCAGUUGUGAAGUAGUCCUGUCCCUCUCACCCAGAAAAAGCGCCCAACUCUGACGAAGCUUUCAGGAAAUCUAACUACCAAGGUACACGAAAUACAGAAACAGAAGAGCACGUUAAAUGACACCACAGCAUUAGAUCACACUUUGAGAAGCUCUGCUGUAAAAGACAAAAGACCUGAUUGCUUCAACAAAAACAGAAAAUUGCAAGGGGAAAAAUGAGAUGGAGAAGAAACGUAGAGAUUAAGAUUUAAGAGAUUUAUCACCCAAUGACUAUGACCUUUGGAUCCCAAUUAAAAAAACUUAAAAUGUUAUGUGACAAUUAAAAAAAUGUAAGUAAGUACUAAAUAUUUUAGGAUACUUUUUGAAUGUGUGGUAAAGAUAUUGUGGUUAUGUUUUUUUAGAAGAGUGCAUUUAGAGAUACAAACUAAAAUGCUGUAGUUGAGGAUGAAAUGACAUGCUGUCUGGGAUUUGCCACAAAGUAACUUGGGAGGGAUUGGCAUGUAAAGUCCAUUAUAUAAUACUAUUCUUGCCUUUUUUCUUUUCUUUUUUUUUUUUUUUUUUUUUGAGACAUUGUCUCACUCUGUCAGCACAACCACAGCUCACGUUUGUAACCUCUACCUUCUGGG